rnacentral:rRNA from 1 species
ACCAGUCCAGACACGAUGAGGAUUGACAGAUUGAGAGCUCUUUCUUGAUUUCGUGGUGUGGUGCAUGGCCGUUCUUAGUUGGUGGAGUGAUUUGUCUGCUUAAUUGCGAUAACGAACGAGACCUUAACCUGCUAAAUAGCCCGUAUUGCUUUGGCAGUACGCCGGCUUCUUAGAGGGACUAUCGGCUCAAGCCGAUGGAAGUUUGAGGCAAUAACAGGUCUGUGAUGCCCUUAGAUGUUCUGGGCCGCACGCGCGCUACACUGACAGAGCCAGCGAGUACUCCCUUGGCCGGAAGGCCCGGGUAAUCUUGUUAAACUCUGUCGUGCUGGGGAUAGAGCAUUGCAAU